rnacentral:misc_RNA from 1 species
UACGGGGGGGGCGAGCGUUGUUCGGAAUUACUGGGCGUAAAGGGUGCGUAGGCGGCUUCGGAAGUCCUGGGUGAAAGCCCCCAGCUUAACUGGGGAAUGGCCUGGGAAACCACGGAGCUAGAGUGCUGGAGAGGGAAGCGGAAUUCCUGGUGUAGCGGUGAAAUGCGUAGAGAUCAGGAGGAACACCGGCGGCGAAGGCGGCUUCCUGGACAGACACUGACGCUGAGGCACGAAAGCUAGGGGAGCAAACAGG